rnacentral:rRNA from 1 species
CGUAGGGUGCGAGCGUUGUCCGGAAUUAUUGGGCGUAAAGAGCCUGUAGGCGGUUAGUCGCGUCGGAAGUGAAAACUCGGGCCUUAAUCCCGAGCUUGCUUCCGAUACGGGCUGACUAGAGGAAGGUAGGGGAGAAUGGAAUUCCUGGUGGAGCGGUGGAAUGCGCAGAUAUCAGGAGGAACACCAGUGGCGAAGGCGGUUCUCUGGACCUUUCCUGACGCUGAGAAGCGAAAGCGUGGGGAGCAAACAGGCUUAGAUACCCUGGUAGUCCCU